GGUGGCUCAGUGGUAGAGUGCUUGCCUAGCAUGCAUGAAGCCCUGGGUUCAAUUCCUCAGUACCA
rfam:Dipodomys ordii contig_45351, whole genome shotgun sequence.